CUGGCUAAGGUCUGGGGAGGAUUUGCUGGUGCUAAAGAGGAAAGCAGACCCUACCCAACCCCACACCCUACUACAGCCA
rnacentral:miRNA from 1 species